UGUCAGUAUAAACUAACAAGUUCCACACUGGCCCAGAAGGCUGCCACAGAAACACUGUGGCACAUGGGCCCUGAUCCCCUCUGCUGGGCCUCAAGGAUAAAUUUGGCUACAGACACCA
ensembl:snoRNA